rnacentral:tRNA from 1 species
CCCUGAUUAGUUCAGUUGGUAGAGCGCUCCACUGGAAACGGAGAGGUCCCGGGUUUGAUACCCGGACUAGGCG